GAUUCAGGCUAUGAGAGAAAGGGUGAAAGAGUGACUUGAUCUGAGUCUCAGAGUACCAGUGCAACAAGGAAACACAAGCCGUUCAGGGUAGCAAAGGUGCAAUAAGACAGAAUCCAGAUCCCUGAAAUGCCAGGAUUUAGUUACAUCUUCCCAGCUACUACUAACUAUAGCUACCAAUAAAGUUUAAAGGUAUGACAUAUUUUGACUCUACAGAUGCUCUAAUCUUUGUUUUACUUAACUUUGUGCUGAGCAGGGCCACACAAAUUAGCUGUAACAGUACAGUUAUCUACUGGUACCAGAUCUGUACUGCACUACUCAAAUUGCUGCAUCUCAUGGAACUGACUGGCAUAGAUUGAGUCCACAAAUUAGAAAUCAGGCUUAACCCUCCUUUUAUGAAGAAAACCAGCCAAACUUCCUAUUUCCUUGCUUAAACAUCAGCGGUCAGUUGGGAAACAUGAGGGACAGGGUGCCUCCAUUGGAGCUAAUAGCGUUAACCUGUUCACCCUCCCCAUUGCACAUUUCACCCAGUAGUUUCCGAUGGCUUAUUUAUAUCAGAUAGGGACUCUUCAUCACCAUGUGACAUACAUAGUUUUAAAAAUUAGGAGUUACUUAUCACUUAAGCUGCCACGAUAAAUCAGUUGCCAGAUUGAGAAUGAUGACCAAGUAUGAUGAGAACCAUCUCACUCUGCAGAGAAGCAGGACAACCCUACAUUUUGAGGUGCAGAGAUAUAGCCACCAGAUGCUGUAUCACAAUGAUACCUGCAGAGAACAGGUAACUAUAGGUUUACAUCUACAAGUAAAGGACACCCUUCUAAUCAUCAGAGAGCUUCUAGAAAUGGUGCUAUAUGGGAUCAAGCCCGUUCAGUUUCAAGAAAGUGUGAGGAACCUCCUGGAUUCAGUCUCUUUGAGUGAGCUCUGUUCCUCAGAAGGAUUCACUCUUUUGUUCCUCAAAAUGAUAUUAUGAGCUGAGGAGGGUGAUGAAGUGCUGAGACAAUAAACAAACACUCCCAGAGAGAGAAGCACAUGUCUGUUUAGGAAAACAACAUGUUUUCAAAACAACUCUCCCCUGACUUAAGUAGGAAGUACAAGGGUUCCAUGUCUCUUCCGUUUCUGAAAGCUGUGUUAUUAACAGCCUCAAUAUUUGCAUUGAAUCACAGUCCAUUAAGAUCAUUUCAGUCCACCAAGGACUGAAAGCAUGCACAUCUAAAUAUUUAUAAGAGAGAUACUCCCUCCAAGUUCAUUUUCCAGCAGCCUCUUCCAGCGCUGGCUCUCCAAAUGGCCAACUCUUCCAGCAGAACUGUUUCAUGCACAUCCAUCUGCUCGCUUUGUUCAGAUAAACACACAUCUCUCCUUCUAGCCAUGUGGUACUGACUUGUCUCUGCAGUGUGCAUGGCUACUGGAGAUGCCCUGCAGAAUCUUUACUGUGAGUCAUGUAGAGAACCCAGCUGGGUAUCUGGGAGCCCAUUUGGAUUUACAAGUUAACCGGGUGUGGGAAACUUUUCUUUUAAACCAAUCCAUGAAGCAAGUCCAGUAUGGAAUUAGUGAGUUAAUACACAUGAACAGGCUGCCUAUCAUUUUUCACAGAAUCCUUUCUAUGACUGUGACUGGAAACACCAAGUGAUAAAUGAACAGAGAGACUGAAAUCCACCCCCCUCAGUUUCUCUGAAAAGCAAUUUCACAGAACGUGAAAGGCUGAAUCAGAUUGGCAGCAUGCAGAAAGCUACUGCCACUGCUGUACAUGCUACUGGUCAGCAGAUAAACAAAGCAAUCCCGUUUCCAGGGCUGUGGAGCCAGCAGCAAAUUUACACAGCCAUCUUUUUAAUAGCUUUGAAAAAUAAAGGAAAACAAGGCACAGUCAUUUCAAGCUCCAUUAGAAACAGAGUGAGAAAAAUCAAUGUUUGACAAAUAGGAAGGGACAAA